AUGGAAUCUCGCCGGAAGGGCCGCCGCCCCAGAUCCAAAGAGCCACGCUCACCCAUCUCCGAAGAGACGAGCAGCUCACGCGAAGCCAGCCGCUCCAGCCACCGCAACGAGCACCACUCCGAGGCCCCAUCCCAGACCGACCCCCUCCAAGCACCCCAACACCAUGAUCCAGAUCUGGCCGCUCCAAAGAGGAAGCAGCCCAUCGGGCGGGGCAGCCAGCAACGGCCAGGCCUGCUCCCCAGGCCGGCCGGCGGCAAGAGGCACGGCCCCAGCCCGCGGGGAAACCACCAGGACGCGGCGAUCUCCACACAGCCUCGCGCCGCCGAGGACGAGGUGGGCGAGCAGGGAGGGGGGCCAACGCGGGGAUGGACGGAGGAGGAGGUGGAAGGGGUCCCGCCGCCGCCGCGGGCCGGCCGGAGGCCGCCGGCGACGGCGGCGAGGGGAGGCAGACGAGGGUGGCGGCGCUCGGGGGAAAACCUAAUCGCCCCCGAGUCGCCUGCGGGAGACGACGCGGGGGUCAUCAUUCAGCCGAUGCCAGAAGGGAUGGAUUUUGUCCGUUCAGAUUCACGCAUCCCCGUUCUGCUGCACCACUGCCUUCACUGGAUCUAUGACCACAACAGGCUAGUUGUUUUUGACACAGUGGUUGAAUCAUUCAGGUGGAUGCGCUCUCCGAUUGGUGUCCAUCGCUGUCGCACUUCUCAUUUGCAUGAGAUGCAAGGUAUGCUUGCCAUCACUGGAGGAAGGGAAUUGCUGAAAACCUGGGCGCUGACAGACUAUGGGAGAGAGGUUUGGUCAUUCAUGCGUCAGAUUUUUCUCCCAAAGGUAAAAUGGGGGAUUUCAAGAUAUACGGUUGUGUCCGGAAAGGCAAACACAGAAUUCUUAUGUUCCACCUUUGAGCGCAUGUUUCACUACUCUAACAACAAGGGGAAAUGGCUGGAGGAAUUCCAGCAGGAACCCUGUCGUUCACGGAUUUUUAGCAAUCAUUUGUUCAAAGAAAGCCUCAUCAGCCAUUCAUUUUUUCCAAUGCAAAGCCUUGGGGGAAAACCAUAUUUUCUGCGAGGACUAGGUGGUGUUAUAAGUAGCUUUGACAUCGCAACUGAUCAAAGCAAUUGGCGCAGUGGUUGA
rnacentral:rRNA from 1 species